rnacentral:rRNA from 1 species
AACGAACGCUGGCGGCAUGCCUAACACAUGCAAGUCGAACGAAACCUUCGGGUCUAGUGGCGCACGAGUGCGUAACGCGUGGGAACCUGCCCUUAGGUUCGGAAUAACUCCCCGAAAGGGGUGCUAAUGCCGGAUAAUGUCUUCGGACGAAAGAUGUAUCGCCUUUGGAUGGGCCCGCGUUGGAUUAGCUAGUUGGUAGGGUAACAGCCUACCAAGGCGACGAUCCCUAGCUGGUCUGGGAGGAUGAUCAGCCACCCUGGGACUGAGACACGGCCCAGACUCUUCCGGGAGGCAGCAGUGGGGACUAUUGGACACUGGGCGAAAGCCUGAGCCCGCAGUGCCGUGUGAGUGUUGUAGUACUUAGGGUUGUAAAGCUCUUUUACCCGGGAUGAUAAUGCCGUUACCGGGAGAAUAAGCUCCGGCUACCUCCGU